AUUGAACGCUGGCGGCAUGCCUUACACAUGCAAGUCGAACGGCAGCGCGGGGCAACCUGGCGGCGAGUGGCGAACGGGUGAGUAACAUAUCGGAACAUACCCUAGAGUGGGGAUAACGUAGCGAAAGUUACGCUAAUACCGCAUACGCACUAAGGUGGAAAGUGGGGGAUUCGCAAGAACCUCAUGCUCAUGGAGUGGCCGAUAUCUGAUUAGCUAGUUGGUGAGGUAAAGGCUCACCAAGGCGACGAUCAGUAGCUGGUUUGAGAGAACGACCAGCCACACUGGAACUGAGACACGGUCCAGACUCCUACGGGAGGCAGCAGUGGGGAAUUUUGGACAAUGGGGGCAACCCUGAUCCAGCAAUGCCGCGUGAGUGAAGAAGGCC
rnacentral:rRNA from 1 species